ACCUCGACUUUUGAAGCUCAUAAUCUCAUGUUAUUCUCGGCUAUCAGAUAAUCACAGAGCUGGAAUUGCACUAACAAGUUGUCUUCCAAAUGUUUUAACAAAUGACACUUUCAAUAAUUACCUUCGUGAAGAUCCAACAACUUGGAGGUUGGUGGAGCAUUUGUAUGAGAACAUAGGGAUGAAUCAUGUUCCAUUAGUACCAG